GCCUGGGUGGCUCAGUUGGUUAAGCGUCUGACUUUGGUUCAGGUCAUGAUCUCACCAUUCGUGAGUUCAAGCCCUGCAUCAGGCU
rnacentral:tRNA from 1 species